rnacentral:misc_RNA from 1 species
GACGAACCGUGCGAACGUUGUUCGGAUUCACUGGGCUUAAAGGGCGCGUAGGCGGGUUGUCAAGUCAGGGGUGAAAGCCUCCAGCUCAACUGGAGAAGUGCCUUUGAUACUGAUGAUCUCGAGGGAGGUAGGGGCAUGUGGAACUUCCGGUGGAGCGGUGAAAUGCGUAGAUAUCGGAAGGAACGCCGGUGGCGAAAGCGACGUGCUGGACCUCUUCUGACGCUGAGGCGCGAAAGCUAGGGGAGCAAACGGG